GACGUAGGGGGCCAGCGUUGUUCGGAAUUACUGGGUGUAAAGGGUUCGUAGGCGGUGCGGCAAGUUGGGGGUGAAAUCUCUGGGCUUAACCCAGAGGCUGCUUCCAAAACUGCUGUGCUUGAGUGUGGGAGAGGCGCGUGGAAUUGCAGGUGUAGCGGUGAAAUGCGUAGAUAUCUGCAGGAACACCCGUGGCGAAAGCGGCGCGCUGGACCACUACUGACGCUGAGGAACGAAAGCCAGGGGAGCAAACGGG
rnacentral:rRNA from 1 species